rnacentral:lncRNA from 1 species
AUGCGCAGCGCUGCUGGCCCGCUCUCUGAGGAGCUUUCAAUACUUUGGGGUCAAGUUUGAGGCAGUUGUAACUGUACUGAGUUUAGUUUUGCUAAUAAUGGUAUUCUACGUGUGUCAGCCUCGUGUGGACUUCUGUAAUGACUAAUGGAUAUGUUUAUAUCCUGAGCAUUUGCUGUAGGAAUUUUAAAUGCAAUCCCAAAACUCAAGAUUACCUUAUUUGGAGAAAUAUUCGUGUUACUAUGUUUAAAAUUUAAUAGAACCAUAUUUUACCUUUCACUUUGGGACUCGCACAGGAUGUUUGCAGCUCUUGAUAUACAGGAACUAGAACGUGUCUUUUAAGAGCAUGCGGUUUUAUAAUUACGUGGAAGUAUGCUACGCAAGGGAAAAAAGCCUCUUGCUAAUGCUUUGAUGUCUUAAAUGGUACAUCCAAACUUAAGUGAAAUAGAGCUGUGAGGACAUUUUGGGGAGAAGUGACCUAGAUAAGCACUGACUGUUGCAUUCAUCUCUCUUCUUGCUGAUUGUGAUGAUUUCCUGUGCCAUAGCCAUUCAAAGUCUGCCAAAAAAGAGUGGAGAAGGAGCAGUUUUUCCAUUUCCCUGAAAAGAAUUGAGUGAAGUUGACAGCAGGAUUGCAGAAGUGGGAGGACCCAAGAGCUAUGCCACGUGUACCUCCUGCCUGAUGUCUUCCCAGAUGUAUACUUC